UCAUUAAAUCAGUUAUGGUUCCUUAGAUCGUUUCUUCCUACUUGGAUAACUGUGGCAAUUCUAGAGCUAAUACAUGCAGUGAGCCUGGAACCCUUUGGGUUUACGGGUGCUUUUAUUAGACCAAGAUCGAUCGGGUUUCGGCCCGUAUUGUGUGGUGACUCUGGAUAACUUUGUGCUGAUCGCAUGGCCAUGAGCCGGCGACGUUUCUUUCAAGUGUCUGCCUUAUCAACUUUCGAUGGUAGGUUACUUGCUUACCAUGGUUGUUACGGGUAACGGAGAAUCAGGGUUCGAUUCCGGAGAGGGAGCCUGAGAAACGGCUACCACAUCCAAGGAAGGCAGCAGGCGCGCAAAUUACCCACUCCCGGCACGGGGAGGUAGUGACGAAAAAUAACAAUACGGGACUCUUUUGAGGCCCCGUAAUUGAAAUGAGUACACUCUAAAUCCUUUAACGAGGAUCAAUUGGAGGGCAAGUCUGGUGCCAGCAGCCGCGGUAAUUCCAGCUCCAAUAGCGUAUACUAAAGCUGCUGCGGUUAAAAAGCUCGUAGUUGGAUCUCAGUUCCAGACGAGUAGUGCAUCUACCCGAUGCGACGGCUCGGACUGAACAUCAUGCCGGUUCUUUCUUGGUGCACUUCAUUGUGUGCCUCGAGAUGGCCGGUGCUUUUACUUUGAAAAAAUUAGAGUGCUCAACGCAGGCGAGUCGCCUGAAUAAACUUGCAUGGAAUAAUAGAACAAGACCUCGUUUCUGUUCUGUUGGUUUUUGGAAUACGAGGUAAUGAUUAAGAGGGACGGACGGGGGCAUUCGU
rnacentral:rRNA from 1 species